rnacentral:rRNA from 1 species
UAGGGAAUCUUCGGCAAUGGACGGAAGUCUGACCGAGCAACGCCGUGUGAGUGAAGAAGGUUUUCGGAUCGUAAAGCUCUGUUGUAAGAGAAGAACGAGUGUGAGAGUGGAAAGUUCACACUGUGACGGUAUCUUACCAGAAAGGGACGGCUAACUACGUGCCAGCAGCCGCGGUAAUACGUAGGUCCCGAGCGUUGUCCGGAUUUAUUGGGCGUAAAGCGAGCGCAGGCGGUUAGAUAAGUCUGAAGUUAAAGGCUGUGGCUUAACCAUAGUAGGCUUUGGAAACUGUUUAACUUGAGUGCAAGAGGGGAGAGUGGAAUUCCAUGUGUAGCGGUGAAAUGCGUAGAUAUAUGGAGGAACACCGGUGGCGAAAGCGGCUCUCUGGCUUGUAACUGACGCUGAGGCUCGAAAGCGUGGGGAGCAAACAGGAUUAGAUACCCUGGUAGUCCACGCUGUAAACGAUGAGUGCUAGGUGUUAGACCCUUUCCGGGGUUUAGUGCCGUAGCUAACGCAUUAAGCACUCCGCCUGGGGAGUACGACCGCAAGGUUG